GCUCCUAUCUUCUAAUGGUUAGGAAACUAGAUUCUCAGUCUAGGAAUCGGGGUUCGAUUCCCCGUGGGAGUA
rnacentral:tRNA from 3 species